AGCAGAUUCAAUGUGUUGACUCCAUGUGCCUGCUCUCCCCAUGGUGGUCCCCUCGGAGAAACAGCUGGGUAUGGGCCUCAGAGAGCUGUGUGCAGAUUCCUGCCCUGCCUCUUGGAGCAAAUUGCUCACCUGCUCUGAGCUCUAGGUCCCUCCCCAGUGCAAUGAGCAUGGCUGAAAAGGCUCAGAGCCUGGGGGCGAUGGGUGUGGCUGAUUAUAAGGAGACCAGGUCAUUCCAAACAG